UACGGAGGGUGCAAGCGUUGUUCGGAAUUACUGGGCGUAAAGCGCGCGUAGGCGGGCCUGCCAGUCGAUUGUGAAAGCCCCGGGCUCAACCUGGGAAUUGCAGUCGAUACUGCAGGUCUUGAAUGCCUGAGAGGAUGGCGGAAUUCCCGGUGUAGAAGUGAAAUUCGUAGAUAUCGGGAAGAACACCCGAGGCGAAGGCGGCCAUCUGGUGGUGCAUUGACGCUGAGGCGCGAAAGCGUGGGUAGCAAACAGG
rnacentral:misc_RNA from 1 species